rnacentral:rRNA from 2 species
AAAUUGAAGAGUUUGAUCAUGGCUCAGAUUGAACGCUGGCGGCAGGCCUAACACAUGCAAGUCGAACGGUAGCACAGAGAGCUUGCUCUCGGGUGACGAGUGGCAGACGGGUGAGUAAUGUCUGGGAAACUGCCCGAUGGAGGGGGAUAACUACUGGAAACGGUAGCUAAUACCGCAUAACGUCGCAAGACCAAAGUGGGGGACCUUCGGGCCUCACACCAUCGGAUGUGCCCAGAUGGGAUUAGCUAGUAGGUGGGGUAACGGCUCACCUAGGCGACGAUCCCUAGCUGGUCUGAGAGGAUGACCAGCCACACUGGAACUGAGACACGGUCCAGACUCCUACGGGAGGCAGCAGUGGGGAAUAUUGCACAAUGGGCGCAAGCCUGAUGCAGCCAUGCCGCGUGUAUGAAGAAGGCCUUCGGGUUGUAAAGUACUUUCAGCGAGGAGGAAGGCGUUGUGGUUAAUAACCACAGCGAUUGACGUUACUCGCAGAAGAAGCACCGGCUAACUCCGUGCCAGCAGCCGCGGUAAUACGGAGGGUGCAAGCGUUAAUCGGAAUUACUGGGCGUAAAGCGCACGCAGGCGGUUUGUUAAGUCAGAUGUGAAAUCCCCGGGCUCAACCUGGGAACUGCAUUUGAAACUGGCAAGCUUGAGUCUCGUAGAGGGGGGUAGAAUUCCAGGUGUAGCGGUGAAAUGCGUAGAGAUCUGGAGGAAUACCGGUGGCGAAGGCGGCCCCCUGGACAAAGACUGACGCUCAGGUGCGAAAGCGUGGGGAGCAAACAGGAUUAGAUACCCUGGUAGUCCACGCCGUAAACGAUGUCUACUUGGAGGUUGUGCCCUUGAGGCGUGGCUUCCGGAGCUAACGCGUUAAGUAGACCGCCUGGGGAGUACGGCCGCAAGGUUAAAACUCAAAUGAAUUGACGGGGGCCCGCACAAGCGGUGGAGCAUGUGGUUUAAUUCGAUGCAACGCGAAGAACCUUACCUGGUCUUGACAUCCACGGAAGUUUUCAGAGAUGAGAAUGUGCCUUCGGGAAC